AGCUGCUCCUAGUACGAGAGGACCGGAGUGGACGAACCUCUGGUGUUCCGGUUGUCACGCCAGUGGCACCGCCGGGUAGCUAUGUUCGGAAGGGAUAACUGCUGAAAGCAUCUAAGCGGGAAGCCCCCCUUGAGAUGAGAUCUCACCAAAUCUUCGAGAUUUCUGAAGGGCCCUCGUAGACUACGAGGUUGAUAGGCGGGAUGUGUAAGCGUUGUGAGGCGUUGAGCUAACCCGUACUAAUUGCCCGUGCGGCUUGACCAUAUAACCGAG
rnacentral:rRNA from 1 species